rnacentral:rRNA from 1 species
UUCGGACUGGAGUCUGCAACCCGACUCCACGAAGUUGGAUUCGCUAGUAAUCGCGCAUCAGCCAUGGCGCGGUGAAUACGUUCCCGGGCCUUGUACACACCGCCCGUCAAGCCAUGGGAGCCGGGGGGUGCUUGAAGUGCGUCGCCGCAAGGCGCGCCCUAGAGCAAAACCGGUGACUGGGGCUAAGUCGUAACAAGGUAUC